rnacentral:rRNA from 1 species
UGAGGAAUAUUGGUCAAUGGGCGAGAGCCUGAAUCAGCCAAGUCGCGUGAGGGAGGAAGGUCCUACGGAUUGUAAACCUCUUUUGCCGGGGAGCAAAGGGGCCAUUGAUGGCAGGAUGAGCGUACCCGGAGAAAAAGCAUCGGCUAACUCCGUGCCAGCAGCCGCGGUAAUACGGAGGAUGCGAGCGUUAUCCGGAUUUAUUGGGUUUAAAGGGUGCGCAGGCGGACUCGUCAAGUCAGCGGUAAAAAUUCGGGGCUCAACCCCGUCCUGCCGUUGAAACUGUAC